AAUCAGAACUAACAUUUUGAGCUUUUCUUCUCUAUUCUUAACAAUUAGGGAACAGGAAAAUCUUUUAAAGCUUAAAAAUGACAAUAAAAAAUAACCGUCAACUUUGACUGAGUACGGUUAUUUUUUGU
rnacentral:misc_RNA from 1 species